rnacentral:rRNA from 1 species
UGAGUAACCUGCCCUUAACUCUGGGAUAAGCCUGGGAAACUGGGUCUAAUACCGGAUAUGACUCCUCAUCGCAUGGUGGGGGGUGGAAAGCUUUUCGGCUGGGGAUGGGCCCGCGGCCUAUCAGCUUGUUGGUGGGGUGAUGGCCUACCAAGGCGACGACGGGUAGCCGGCCUGAGAGGGCGUCCGGCCACACUGGGACUGAGACACGGUCCAGACUCCUACGGGAGGCAG